CUACGGGUGGCUGCAGUGAGGAAUAUUGCACAAUGGAGGAAACUCUGAUGCAGCAACGCCGCGUGGAGGAUGACGCAUUUCGGUGUGUAAACUCCUUUUAUAUGUCAAGAAAAUGACGGUAGCAUAUGAAUAAGCUCCGGCUAACUCCGUGCCAGCAGCCGCGGUAAUACGGAGGGAGCAAGCGUUACUCGGAAUCACUGGGCGUAAAGGACGCGUAGGCGGGAUAGAAAGUCAGGUGUGAAAUCCUAUGGCUCAACCAUAGAACUGCACUUGAAACUUCUAACCUAGAGUAUGGGAGGGGAAGAUGGAAUUAGUGGUGUAGGGGUAAAAUCCGUAGAUAUCACUAGGAAUACCAAAAGCGAAGGCGAUCUUCUGGAACAAUACUGACGCUAAGGCGUGAAAGCGUGGGGAGCAAACAGGAUUAGAUACCCGUGUAGUC
rnacentral:rRNA from 1 species